GGCUCCCCCGCCUCUCUCCUUCCCACGUCGGCUGGCCCCCUUCCAAUCCAGCUUCCCGCCACUCAGUCCCAGUUUCCCCCAUCCUAGCCUCAGUUUCCCCACCAGAUAGCCUGGGAUCCCCAGCACCAGACCGUUCCUGGGUCCCAGGCCACUCACAGCGACAGCUCCAGAGGCAGAGAUGAUCAGGAGAUGGAAGGCGAGAGGAGUCCCAAGGGCUGGGCUGCUGCAGGUCGGGCUGUGGCCUACUCAGCUCAGGGCUUUCCCUCCGGGGCUUAUAUCCAGGCCUGAAAAGGGAGGGGGAGCUGGAGGGGGGAGGGCUCUUCUUCCUUCCUCCCUCCACCCCAGACCAGAUCGCUGAGCUUACACCCAGACAGUGCGUGAUGUCUCCACCUCCAAGGAGCAGAGGAGUGGGGGGAGCUCCCACACUCGGACUCAAGGUACCUCUGGAUAGGGUGCCUAGCCGGAACCCCAUCUUCACCCUACAGCCCCCCAACAGCAGGUCUAGCCUUCGGAGGAAGUGAAGCAUUUGGAUCUAGGUUCCUGGGAUGACCCCUAGGAUCAGGGCUGAGAUUCCAUCUUUCCUAGCCUGUCCACGGGUGGGGGUGGGGGCUCGGGGGGGAAGGGGAGCAGGAAGCCAAACCCACUUUUUCCAGCCUGCGGGACCUGUGACCACUCCUUCCAAAAGCCAGCCUUUUCAGCCCCUGCUCUGUAAUAUGUUGGAGGAGAGCCAAGGAGUGACAGGACCUGUGGGGAAAACUCUCUCUCUACUGGAGGCAGGGAUGGGAGCUAUGACCUUGGCUCUUGACCUCCUGUUUAUGAUGUCCUGGAGGAGAAGCCUCUCUGGACACCCCACUGUGUCUCCUCUCUGUUAAAGAGUUGGUGAGGGCUUCCCUGGUGGCGCAGUGGUUAAGAAUCCGCCUGCCAAUGCAGGGGACGCCGGUUCGAGCCCUGGUCCGGGAAGAUCCCACAUGCCACAGAGCAACUAAGCCCGUGCACCACAACUACUGAGCCUGUGCUCUAGAGCCCGCGAGCCACAACUAUUGAGCCCUAGUGCCACAACUACUGAAGCCCGUGCACCUAGAGCCCGUGCUCUGCAACAAGAGAAGCCACCCAAUGAGAAGCCCACGCACCACAAUGAAGAGUAGCCCCCGCUCGCCACAACUAAAGAAAAGCCCACACGCGGCAGAGAGACCCAACGCAGCC
rnacentral:lncRNA from 1 species